rnacentral:rRNA from 1 species
GGCUCAGAAGCAGCCACCAUUUAAAGAGUGCGUAAUAGCUCACUGGUCGAGAGACGCUGCGCCGAAAAUGUCCGGGGCUCAAGCACGGAACCGAAGCUAUGGCAUGAUAGCAAUAUCAUGGGUAGGGGAGCGUUCUUAUAAGGAAGAAGCAUGACCGGAAGGACAUGUGGACGAAUAAGAAGUGAGAAUGCCGGUAUGAGUAUCGAAAAGAAAGGUGAGAAUCCUUUCCACCGAAAGCCCGAGGGUUCCUGAGCAACGAUCGUCGACUCAGGGUAAGUCGGGACCUAAGCCGAGGCGGAAAGCGUAGGCGAUGGACAACAGGUUGAAAUUCCUGUACCGGAUCAAGUCGAUCGAGCGAAGGAGCGACGCAGGAGGGCACAUGAUCGCGCGGCUGGAAGAGCGCGUCCAAGUGCGUAUGUUGCAGCAGAGGAAAACCCCUGCAGCUAAAAGCAGAGACAUGAUGGGGAGUUAAAGGAAACUUUGACGAACUCAUGGAUCCCACACUGCCAAGAAAAACUUCUAGCGAGACAAGAUCCGCCCGUACCGUAAACCGACACAGGUAGGCGGGGAGAGAAUCCUAAGGUGCGCGGGAAAACCCUCGUUAAGGAACUCGGCAAAUUGCAUCCGUAACCUAGGGAGAAGGAUGGCCCCCGGUCAGUGAAGAGCAGAAACGCUCAGAGCUAAAAGGGGCGGCAGAAAAGAGGCCCAAGCAACUGUUUACCAAAAACACAGGUGCCUGCGAAAGCGAAAGCUGAAGUAUAGGUGCUGACGCCUGCCCGGUGCCGGAAGGUUAAGGAGAGAAGUUAGCGAAAGCGAAGCAUCGAACUGAAGCCCCGGUGAACGGCGGCCGUAACUAUAACGGUCCUAAGGUAGCGAAAUUCCUUGUCGGGUAAGUUCCGACCCGCACGAAAGGUGUAAUGAUUUGGGCACUGUCUCAACGAGGGACCCGGUGAAAUUGAAAUACCUGUGAAGAUGCAGGUUACCCGCGACUGGACAGAAAGACCCCAUGGAGCUUCACUGCAGCUUGAGAUUGAAUCCCGGUGACAGAUGCACAGGAUAGGUGGGAGGCGCCGAAGCAUUGCCCUAGGGCGGUGCGGAGCCGAUGUUGGGAUACCACCCUUCUGUUGCUGAGAUUCUAACGCGAGGAGUAACGACCCUGCGGACCCUCUCAGGCAGGCGGUUUGACUGGGGCGGUCGCCUCCGAAAGAGUAACGGAGGCGCCCAAAGGUUCCCUCAGGCCGGACAGAAACCGGCCGAAGAGUGCAAAGGCAGAAGGGAGCUUGACUGCGAGACCAACAAGUCGAGCAGAGACGAAAGUCGGGCUUAGUGAUCCGGUGGUACUGAGUGGAAAGGCCAUCGCUCAACGGAUAAAAGCUACCCUGGGGAUAACAGGCUAAUCUCUCCCAAGAGUUCAUAUCGACGGGGAGGUUUGGCACCUCGAUGUCGGCUCAUCACAUCCUGGGGCUGGAGUAGGUCCCAAGGGUUGGGCUGUUCGCCCAUUAAAGUGGUACGCGAGCUGGGUUCAAAACGUCGUGAGACAGUUUGGUUCAUAUCCAUCGCGGGCGUAAGAAGUUUGAGAGGAGCUGCUCCUAGUACGAGAGGACCGGAGUGGACGGAUCAACGGUGUCCCAGUUGUCACGCCAGUGGCACGGCUGGAAAGCCGCAUCCGGGAAGGAUAAACGCUGAAAGCAUCUAAGCGCGAAGCCAACCUCAAGAUGAGACUUCUCAUCAGCAAUGAGUAAGACCCCUUACAGACGAUGAGGUAGAUAGGUUAUGAGUGGAAGAGCCGCAAGGCUUGGAGCGACAUAAAACUAAUAGGUCGAGGUCUUAACUUA